AAUCAACGCUGGCGGCGUGCCUCAGACAUGCAAGUCGAACGCGAAAGUUUCCUUCGGGGAACAAGUAGAGUGGCGCACGGGUGAGUAACACGUAGGUAAUCUACCUUUGGAUGGGGAAUAACAACCGGAAACGGUUGCUAAUACCGCAUAAUGCAGCGGCACCUAAUGGUGACAGUUGUUAAAGCGGGGGAUCGAAAGACCUCGCGUCUGAAGAGGAGCCUGCGGCGGAUUAGCUAGUGGUAAGGUAAUGGCUUACCAAGGCGACGAUCCGUAACCGGCCUGAGAGGGCGGUCGGUCACACUGACACUGACAUACGGGUCAGACUCCUACGGGAGGCAGCAGUCGGGAAUUUUGGGCAAUGGGCGAAAGCCUGACCCAGCAACGCCGCGUGAAGGAUGAAAUCCCUCGGGAUGUAAACUUCG
rnacentral:rRNA from 1 species